rnacentral:rRNA from 1 species
GAUGAACGCUAGCGGCAGGCUUAACACAUGCAAGUCGAGGGGUAUUUAUCUUCGGAUAGAGAGACCGGCGCACGGGUGCGUAACGCGUAUGCAAUCUACCUUUUACAGAGGGAUAGCCCAGAGAAAUUUGGAUUAAAACCUCAUAGUAUAUAGACUCGGCAUCGAGAUUAUAUUAAAGUCACAACGGUAAAAGAUGAGCAUGCGUCCCAUUAGCUAGUUGGUAAGGUAACGGCUUACCAAGGCUACGAUGGGUAGGGGUCCUGAGAGGGAGAUCCCCCACACUGGUACUGAGACACGGACCAGACUCCUACGGGAGGCAGCAGUGAGGAAUAUUGGACAAUGGGCGCAAGCCUGAUCCAGCCAUGCCGCGUGCAGGAUGACGGUCCUAUGGAUUGUAAACUGCUUUUAUACGAGAAGAAACACUGCUACGUGUAGCAGCUUGACGGUAUCGUAAGAAUAAGGAUCGGCUAACUCCGUG